AGUGAACGCUGGCGGUAGGCCUAACACAUGCAAGUCGAACGGCAGCACAGUAAGAGCUCGCUCUUACGGGUGGCGAGUGGCGGACGGGUGAGGAAUACAUCGGAAUCUACUUUUUCGUGGGGGAUAACGUAGGGAAACUUACGCUACUACCGCAUACGACCUACGGGUGAAAGCAGGGGAUCUUCGGACCUUGCGCGAUUGAAUGAGCCGAUGUCGGAUUAGCUAGUUGGCGGGGGAAAGGCCCACCAAGGCGACGGUCCGUAGCUGGUCUGAGAGGAUGACCAGCCACACUGGAACUGAGACACGGUCCAGACUCCUACGGGAGGCAGCAGUGGGGAAUAUUGGACAAUGGGCGCAAGCCUGAUCCAGCCAUACCGCGUGGGUGAUGAAGGCCUUCGGGUUGUAAAGCCCUUUUGUUGGGAAAGAAAAGCAGCAGGUUAAUACCCCGCUGUUCUGACGGUACCCAAAGAAUAAGCACCGGCUAACUUCGUG
rnacentral:rRNA from 1 species